UGCCACCUUGGAGACGGCAUCAUUUUUAUCAAGGCAGUUGAUGAAGGCAGAGGCCGAAAGCUUUUGCUAUAAGAACGUAAGAUUUCUGCUUUGUUACUCAGAGUAAUACAUAUAAAGUGAAAUGAUGAUAUGCAGAAGGGAGUAUGGAAAGAGGUGAGAGAGUUGUUUAGGAAAGGUUGAGACUUUACCGUUUCAAUAACUUAAAAGCAAAACUCUCUUAAAAUGGCAAUUUAAUGACAUUGGUUUCUAUAGAAGAACAAGCUGAUCAGAAAGGCGGGGGGCGCAGUAAAUGUUGGCUUUGUCAAGAAAUAAUAAUAAUAAUAAUAAUAAUAAUAAUAAUAAUUGUACCCCGCCCCUCUGGCUGGGUUUCCCCAGCCACUCUGGGCAGCUUCCAUAGAAACCAAAAAUACACUAAAAUAACACAGAUUAAAAACUUCCCUGAACAGGGCUGCCUUAAGAUGUCUUCUGAAUGUCAGGUAGUUAUUUAUCGCUUUGACAUCUGAUGGGAGGGCGUUCCACAGGGCGGGCGCCACUACCGAGAAGGCCCUCUCCCUGGUUCCCUGUAGCUUUGCUUCUCGCAAUGAGGGAACCGCCAGAAGGCGCUGGACCUCAGUGUCCGGGCAGAACGAUGGGGGUGGAGACGCUCCUUCAGGUAUACUGGACCGAGGCCGUUUACGGCUUUAAAGGUCAACACCAGCACUUUGAAUUGUGCUCGGAAACGUACUGGGAGCCAAUGUAGGUCUUUCAAGACUGGUGUGAUGUGGUCUCAGCGGCCGCCCCCAGUCACCAGUCUAGCUGCCGCAUUCUGGAUUAGUUGUAGUUUCCGAGUCACCUUCAAAGGUAGCCCCAUGUAGAGCGCAUUGUGGGAGUCCAAGCGGGAGAUAACUAGAGCAUGCACCACUCUGGCGAGACAGUCCGCGGGCAGGUAGGGUCUCAGCCUGCGUACCAGGUGGAGUUGGUAGACAGCUGCCCUGGAUACAGAAUUGACCUGCGCCUCCAUGGACAGCUGUGAGUCCAAAAUGACUCCCAGGCUGUGCACCUGGUCCUUCAGGGGCACAGUUACCCUAUUCAGGACCAGGGAGUUCUCCACACCAGCCCGCCCCCUGUCCCCCAAAAACAGUACUUCUGUCUUGUCAGGAUUCAACUUCAAUCCAUUAGCCGCCAUCCAUCCUCCAAGAAAAUAAACACAGGUCUCUCCCUCCAUAUCUGAUCGAGCAAAGCAAAGAAAUAUUGGCUAAUGGCUGUACAUUACACAUCAACAAGUGAAGACACCUGUGUUCAGACCUUUGGAGAUGAUGCUGCAAACAUUGACUGUCCCAUCCUGAUGUAUUGUAGUAAUGCUUUAAAUUUAACAGUUUUAAUUUUGAAAUGAUAUGCAACCAACAACCCUCAAGCCCUUAGGGUGAAAGGUAGGCUAUACAGUUGUACCUUGGAAGUUGAACAGAAUCUGUUCUGGAAGUCCGUUUGACUUCCAAAACGUUCGAAAAACAAAGUGCUGCUUCUGAUUGGCUGCAGGAAGCUCCUGCAGCCAAUCGGAAGCUGCAGAAGCUCCAUCGGAUGUUCGGCUUCCAAAAAUAGUUUGCAAACUGAAACACUCACUUCCGGGUUGUGGCAUUCGGGAGCCAAAACGUUCCAGACCUAAGCUAUUUGAAAACCAAGGUAUGACUGUACAUCUAAAUAAAUAAACGACCAUUAUUGAAGAAGUCUUCCAAGUAAACAUGGCCACCAAGCCAUUACUAUCUCUUUUGAACUACAUAGAAGGUGUUACAGCCAUCAGACAAUUCCCAACACAGGUACUGUACAUAAUUACUCUUGCAAGAAUUUUGUAUGCUAAAACCUGGAAGCAGAACAGCACAUCAACUAAAUGGGAACUAAUUAGGAGACUAUGGGAACACUUACAAGUCAUUAAAUUGUCAAGAAUCCUUUGCUCUCCCCAAACAUCAAAUUAAGCAUUUAAUAAAUGGAAUUGCCACCCCUCUCUUAAGAAAACCAAGCACUUGACAAAGCACUUGAAUUUGACUUCUUUUACUCUCCAUACCACCACUGUUCACUCAUCUUCCCACCUGUGUGUUCUCUGCUUGUUGUGUUUCUUAAACAACAAUACUAACACCAAUAGCUAGCAAAGUAUGGUGCAUUACUAGAGUCUCCUGAGGUAAUCGGGAUAGCUAAAGGAGCUUGACACCUCUGUCUUCACAAUAGGUUUAACAACAACAACAAUUUAUUAUUUAUACCCCACCCAUCUUGCUGGGUUUCCCCUUGAACAUGAGUUUGCCCUUGAACAAAUGUGUCCUCUCUUUCCUUCUCUAGGUUAUAUCAGGCUGCUCAUUCUCUUGUUGAACAGUGGAGGACACACCAGAAACAAUGUUGUGAGGUGUUGCCUUAACUUACUCAAAGCCUACGCGGGAGAGGAAGGAAAUAGUCAGGGAAGCAAUGCGUGAAGGUUAUACCUGGACCGAUCCUAGCAUCUCCAGAUUUUGGAGGAGACAUGGAAGUGUAUCGAGAAGAAGUAUGAAUUACUGUCUAUAUCUUCCGCUCCAUAGCUUGUCUAGGAACCAACCAGUCUUUUGUCCCUAAGCCAUUAUGAAAAAGAAACAAAGACGACCGUUUCUGAACUUCAGUUAUAGCUAUUGUGCUGUUUCAUAGAGGGAUUUACUCAACGUAUGGAAAGGAACAAUAGAAUAUUCCUCCUUCCCAAACUGGGAGAAGAAGAAAACCUGCUGUUGCCACAAUGUUGGUUUGUUUUAAGAGAGAUGCUCAAGAUUUCAACGCGCAAAAGGUUAGAAGAUGGCAGCUAUGGGAUCUCUCGGAUUGUGUGUUUCCUUGCAGCUUGCAGGCUGCAUUGCAGAAAUGUGAGCAGGUGCUCCUGUGUAUCUUCUACAGAGGUGAGAACUAACAGGCGGGAACUGAGAUCAAUGGAGUAGCUAUGUGUCUUUAAUAUAGUCAGUGCAGAACUUGGAGGAAAGAUGCAGCAAUUGAGAUGAAUGGCUUAAAACAAAUACUUGACACAACUUUUAUUUAUUCCCACACUGCAUCCCAUCACUGAGACCGACUCGGCUUGUCUUGUUAAAAGAAACAGCUACAGCAACAGCUCAUUUCUGUUUGUCUUCAGUGAAGCAAAAUAAAAUAAAAUAAAACCCUUAAUGAAGAAGUGAAAAGGUAGCGAAGAUCUUUUCCUUUUUUUGACACCAGGUGGUCAUUGUAUUUCCUCGUGUUAAUUUUGCUAAUGCCACAAGGUGAAUUUGCUUUUCAGGGGUCCUGGUAAAUAUUGUUAUGUAGUGCUAUAGAAGGUUGAAAGGAGGACACACCUGCCCGAGGGCAAGAUGUUCUUAGAUCUCUUGGCAAGACAGAUUUGCUUAACUCUUUCACUGUCCCAGUUCUCAGUUCAGUUUCCAUGGGAAGAAAGGGAACUAGGACAGGACCAGGAAUGAUGUGCAAUAAAUCUAGCAGAG